CCCAUGUGUAGAUGCCCUGGGCCCCUCAGCCCUUGGGAGUGGUGACCCGUGCCUCCAGGGUGUACUGGGCCCAGGGACUGGCUUCUUCACGCACCUUCCUUGGCCUUCCUCCCAACCCACUUGCCUUGAGUCACUGGCCCUGAGUCGGUUUCUGGGGCCCAGCCUGGGGCGGGCCAACCGGGGCGACCCGGUGACAUCUGACCUUUGCUGACGCUGAUUCCUACAGCCAUCGAGCUCCCUGAGCGUGAAGAAUUUGGUCUCCAAGCUAUGCUCCCCGACUGGCCUGGACCUGGGCACCCCGCGGAUGGCAGCAGAGGCCGGCGGUCCAGCCCUGAGCGCUCAGGCCCUCAAGGAGAUGGCCGUGAGCACCAAGGGCAUCGCCCGCAUCGCGGCCACCCGACGCUCCAAGGCACAGGAACGCGAGGGUGGCAGAGGCCACUCCUCCCUCCACCUUCCGGAGGAGGUGGCCCUGGACUCCAGGGACCCGAAGGCCAGUGUCACCCCAGACCCGAGCCCAGCGGACCGGAGGCGGCCCCUCGCCAGCCCGGGCAGGGACCGCUCUGCAGAGAGGAAGCACAGGAGGAAGCGGUCACCCUCCCUCACCUGGAACGCGCAGCCGGUGAUGGAGCCCGUGGCUGAGAGCCAGCUGCCCCCGGCACUCCCGCAGCUGACAAAGUCGUCCGGAAAGAGCUUCUUCCCCGCCGUCCCCAUGGCCUCCAAGAGGAAACCCAGCCUGGGUGUCCACGCAGACGAGAAGAUGCCCCCGGUGCCUGAGGUCAGCUUCACCUUCCCCAGCGCCACGUGGCACAGCAGCCCGGGCCCGGGCAAGGCCCCGCUCCUGCCCCGGGACAUCCGAGGGUCUACAGAUAGCGGAGGCCGGCACCACAGCCCACUGCCCCCCAGUGCCCCCCACAAGCCCCGGGGCAGCGCCAAGCGGCCACAAAGGCCACAAUGA
rnacentral:lncRNA from 1 species